CUCUGUAAAUUUGAAUGCCUCAGCGAUUACAAUGACAAAAGACCUUUUUAAAAAAAUAAUCUAAAUAGCAUGAUAAAUUUUCAUAUAAAAGUAACAUUUCAAUUUUGUUCUUAAUAAGGGUUUAAUGCCUUUUAUGAAUUACUGGUUUAGCCUAAGUUUUAAAAAAUGUAUUAAUGCAUAUGCCACAAUCA